GAAGUAUUAAUAUUUAACUAAUUUGCAUUUAGUUGUAGAGGUAAUUUA
rnacentral:tRNA from 1 species